rnacentral:rRNA from 1 species
GCCUCCGGCUCCGCCCUAUCAGCCGAAGGCGCCCGAUCUCGUCUGAUCUCGGAAGCUAAGCAGGGUCGGGCCUGGUUAGGAUCUUGGAUGGAGACCACCUGGGAAUCCCGGGUGCUCGAGGCU